GAUGAACGCUGGCGGCGUGCCUAAUACAUGCAAGUCGAGCGAACGGACGAGAAGCUUGCUUCUCUGAUGUUAGCGGCGGACGGGUGAGUAACACGUGGAUAACCUACCUAUAAGACUGGGAUAACUUCGGGAAACCGGAGCUAAUACCGGAUGAUAUUUUGAACCGCAUGGUUCAAAAGUGAAAGACGGUCUUGCUGUCACUUAUAGAUGGAUCCGCGCUGCAUUAGCUAGUUGGUAAGGUAACGGCUCACUAAGGCAACGAUGCAUAGCCGACCUGAGAGGGUGAUCGGCCACACUGGAACUGAGACACGGUCCAGACUCCUACGGGAGGCAGCAGUAGGGAAUCUUCCGCAAUGGGCGAAAGCCUGACGGAGCAACGCCGCGUGAGUGAUGAAGGUCUUCGGAUCGUAAAACUCUGUUAUCAGGGAAGAACAUAUGUGUAAGUAACUGUGCACAUCUUGACGGUACCUAAUCAGAAAGCCACGGCUAACUACGUG
rnacentral:rRNA from 1 species